UCAGGAAGCUACAUCCAGAGGCAGACUUUCUGUAGACUGGGCUACAUUUGCAAGAUGGAAAGGUGCAUUAAGCUGGGUGACAUGACUUCAGAUGUUAAAGGGGAGAGUGCUUUCAAACCACAGAAUUCUGGAAGCCAUUCAUUGACAUACAAACCUGUGGGGACCAGCAUGGUGGGUUUGUGCCUUGGGGUUGAGACAACGACAUCCCAGACCUUCGCCCUUUGUUACGGACUGUGCCACUGAAGCCACUGACUUGUUGCCUGGAAAUUUCUCCAGCUUGCAGUAUAUUAUAUUGAUGGACAUAAGUCUUCAUGUGUGAUUUUUUUUUUU